rnacentral:rRNA from 1 species
CAAUAGCGUAUAUUAAAGUUGUUGCAGUUAAAAAGCUCGUAGUUGGAUUUCGGGGCAGCCUGGCUGGUCCGCCGCAAGGCGAGUACUGGUCAGCCGCCCUUCCUCUCGAAAGCCCCGACUGCUCUUUAUUGCAGUGGUCGGGUAGUUCGGGACGUUUACUUUGAAAAAAUUAGAGUGUUCAAGGCAGGCCUACGCCUGAAUACAUUAGCAUGGAAUAAUGGAAGAGGACCUCGGUCCUAUUUUGUUGGUUUCCAGGACCGAAGUAAUGAUUAAGAGGGACAGUUGGGGGCAUUCGUAUUUAAUUGUCAGAGGUGAAAUUCUCGGAUUUAUGAAAGACGAACAACUGCGAAAGCAUCUGCCAAGGAUGUUUUCAUUAA